UACGGAGGGGGCUAGCGUUGUUCGGAAUUACUGGGCGUAAAGCGCACGUAGGCGGCUUUGCAAGUCAGAGGUGAAAGCCCGGGGCUCAACCCCGGAAUUGCCUUUGAGACUGCAUCGCUAGAAUUGUGGAGAGGUAAGUGGAAUUCCGAGUGUAGAGGUGAAAUUCGUAGAUAUUCGGAAGAACACCGGUGGCGAAGGCGGCUCACUGGCUCGUAACUGACGCUCAUGCACGACAGCGUGGGGAUCAAACAGG
rnacentral:rRNA from 1 species